rnacentral:rRNA from 1 species
AGUUAUCCUCAUUCAGGACAAUGUCUGGUGGGUAGUUUGACUGGGGCGGUCGCCUCACAAAGAGUAACUGAGGCGCCCAAAGGUUCCCUCAGCAUGUUUGGAAAUCAUGCGUAGAGUGUAAAGGCAUAAGGGAGCUUGACUGCGAGACCUACAAGUCGAGCAGGUACGAAAGUAGGGCUUAGUGAUCCAGCGGUUCCGUAUGGAAGGGCCGUUGCUCAUCGGAUAAAAGGUACGCCGGGGAUAACAGGCUUAUCUCCCCCAAGAGUUCAUAUCGACGGGGAGGUUUGGCACCUCGAUGUCGGCUCGUCACAUCCUGGGGCUGAAGCAGGUCCCAAGGGUUCGUCUGUUCGCCGAUUAAAGUGGCACGCGAGCUGGGUUUAAAACGUCGUGAGACAGUUUGGUCCCUAUCCUAUGCGGGCGCAGGAGAUUUGAUGGAAGUUGUCCCUAGUACGAGAGGACCGGGAUGAACGAACCUAUGGUCUUCCGGUUGUCACGCCAGUGGCACCGCCGGGUAGCUAAGUUCGGAUGGGAUAAGUGCUGAAAGCAUCUAAGCACGAAGCCCCUCCAGAGAUAAGAUCUCCCUGACCAGUUGGUCCUGAAGAGUCGUGGAAGACUACCACGUUGAUAGGCUGGAAGUGUACGCAUGGCAACAUGUUUAGCUGACCAGUACUAAUAACUCGUGAGGCUUGGUCUC